GAUAGCCUAGUGGUUAGAGCAUCCACCUUGGAAGUAGGAGGUUGUGGGUUCGACCCCCAGCCUAGUCA